UGACGAGUAACGCGAGCCUGCCUUCAGUGUUGGCAUAAUUAUACGAAUACUUCAUGUUGAAACAAUGUUUGGAAAAUAUACGCGAGGGGUCGUUGCAUGCAUGUAUUUCUAGUUAUAAGCUAUAAUUUUUUAAUGUAUUUACUUAAGUUUUUCGUGUUAAAAACAUUUUUGUAAAUAGCUGUGUUUUAACUCCUAAAAAGCAAGCAACGCGGUCAGUAAUUGCCAAAUUUGGAAGUGCCCAUUUUCAACUAAAAUCGGAACAGGCAAGUUCUGCGACCACAUUAGCAUUAAUGUGUGCUUCGCUGUCGCCAUUGUUAUAAAUAAAUUGUCUCACUUAUCAGAUCGUGUGUGCAAUUCUUGUUGGCGUGCAGGAUUUAUUUUAAGAAAAAUUUAGAACUGCACAUAUUAGGGAUGUUAAGAAGCAUCACGUGUUUGACUGGGGGGUGAAAGAAUGUUUGAUUGGGGGGGUCAAAGGAUUUUUAUCUAUAUUUAACGUUGUAAAUUAUGAUAGACUCUUAAUUUGUAUAUAGGUGGCAGAAUAAAGGCGUGGUUGGGUGGGGCCAGACGAACUCGAUUCUGGGUGGGGGGCUACAGGUAGCGGGUGUCUCCCAAAUUUUGAAUUUAGAGGCUCGUAAGUUUUGGCAAAGAUUUGUUUCACCCAACCAUCCACAAAAACUGUUUCAAAACAUGUAACUGGGAAUCAUGAAUACUCAAUAUAGUAUUCUUUAGGCAGUAUACCUUAGGCAGCAAAGAAUAUUAGGUUCUCCCACU